GACAGAGGGUGCAAACGUUGUUCGGAAUUACUGGGCGUAAAGCGUGUGUAGGCGGCCGUGCAAGUCGGAUGUGAAAUCCCCGGGCUCAACCCGGGAAGUGCACCCGAAACUGCAGGGCUCGAGUACCGGAGAGGUUGGUGGAAUUCUCGGUGUAGAGGUGAAAUUCGUAGAUAUCGGGAAGAACACCCGUGGCGAAAGGCGGCUCUCUGGGACGGUACUGACGCUGAGACGCGAAGCCGUGG
rnacentral:rRNA from 1 species